AUCUAUCUAUCUAUCAACCUACAUACCUACCUACCUACCUACCUACCUAUCGACCAGUCCAUCUAUCUGUGGGAAUAUAGGUCAAAAAAGGAUGGGGAAAGGUUACCUCUUUCUUAAAGCAGACUGUGUGUAAGGCAUUCUGAACAGAUAACUGUAUAUGUUGAGGAUGGAAAUGGUACUCUUUCCCCCAAGGGAGCCUUAAAUAUAUUUCAGUUAGUUCAUUUACAUGAGUCAUUUACAUUGAUUUCCAAGAAACAUCCUAGGUUUUCAAAUAACCCCUGACUUAACGAACUCCCUUUCCCUCUCUUUCUCUUAUAUAUUAUUCAUUCAAUUCAUAUUCAGUGUCUAUUCUGGGAAUGGUCUCGGCAAGGUAUUAUGAGAAUCUCAGAGAAAUGAAGUGCACACUCCUACCUCAAAGGAAUGGCAGUCUUCCUGAGAGGCCAUAGUGUGAGCCUAAGGAAAGGUUAAAUGACUAUACAAGAUGUGUUUACAAGACACCGUGCACUGAAGGGCUAAUGAAGGAUAAUAAUAGAUAAUUGUGAGUAAUGCUAAUGACAGAAGAGGCAGCUGUCAACCACCUUUUGUACAGCAGGCCCCUUGCCUAUGUUAUCUUUGAAAAUUCUCAACAAAUUUUGAAAGGGAUAUUUUUAUCCUCAUUUAGGUAAUUAUAAAAUGAAUGCUUGCUGCGUGACUGUUGAGUGAAGAGAUGAAGACCCCCAUCAGAUCCUGCCUUUGUGAUUGCCAUCUCAUGACAAAAAUCCUCAGGAGCAGUAAGAGCAAGAGGGUCAUUUUGGUACAUCAUUUCGAAGAUUUCACUCAACGUUAACUGACCCCGUCAUUGUUGGUGGUGAGCAAGAUGGAACAUCUUGGUGGAAAGUACCCAUCAGACAGAAGCUUCCUCCCUCAUGAUUGGUAAACAGAAAGUGAUAAGAAGAGGCCAGGGACCACAUACAGCUUUCAAAAGCAUGUCCCAAUGACUUACUUCCCCUAAGCAAUCCUGUCUGCCGUUAGUUCACUCAGCCAUGAACCAUCAGUGGGUUACUCUACUGAGGAAGCCAGCACCCUCGUGAUCCGUUCACUUCCCAAGAGCAUCACCAGUGGGGACUAAAACUUCAGCACGUGAAUGGCUGGGGUUUUUAUACAUCUGAACUGGACAGCACCAGGGACAGCCCAUUCGGUUGGUGCUGCUGUGACCACUGUGGCUGUAGAGGAAGAUCAUGCUAGACAUCAACGCUGGAAAGAAGACUCCAAACUAGUGUGGAGUUCCUGCUUGUGAGAUAUGAUUGGAUGAUGGGUACAAUGAAGGCCAUACUUGGAACACACCGGGGAGAUCAGGUCCAAAGAGCAGCCCGUUCCCUACUAUUGCCUCCAUUCCAGCUUCCCUUGAAUGCUUGAACAGAAGCAAACUUUAUUUGAAAUUUCGUGGAAGACAUUUCACCUAGAGGCUGGCUGCCCAUCUGAGCCCAGCUUCCUUCCUUUUCUAUUUUCUUUCAUUUUUUUUUUGAUGGGGGGCUUACUGUAUGGCCCAUGCUGGCUUUGGACUUUUCAUCUUCCUUUCCCAGACUUCUAAGUCAUCUUCUGUUCCCCAGGAGAGCUCAAGAGUCAGAAGGAAAAGAGGAUGAGAGCCGUGAAGUGUUGAGUAGAACCAGUCUCCGUGAGUCAAAGUGCCGAAACUCUCCCCACCGGAAUGAAUCGCAAUGGUGGAGGGUGGAGGUGCACAGCAGUAGCAAGCAGCUUCGGGAUCCUACAGAGACUAGAGCUUGACCCUGGAAUCUUGGCAGAGAUGGAAGAAGGCAUGUACCACCUAAGAUUUGGACAACAGAGUAUACUGAGUCAAUGGAUCUGUACUGGGGCUGCUCCUCUUCUGCUCCACCUCAGGUGGAGGAGGUUGGCAAUGCACACGGACAAGCUUGAGUGCCACAGAUUGGAGGUUGAGCAAUCAAAUGAGUAGAAGUCGGCGAUGCUACUGAACAGAGGACAAUGUACACGAUGCCCUCCGCCCCAACAAAGGAUGAUAUGGUCCUACCUUAGAUGGUGAGUCAAGGCUCAUGAACUUCCUUAAUCUUCACACUCGUCUUCCAUCUUCCCGGAGAAUAGAGUGCAUUUGGACCUUCUAGAGACUGCUAAUCUCUUCUGGAUCAAUCAUUGGUGUUCACAUUCUUGCUCUGUCUCCAACUUACUAGAUGUGUCGGGGAGACUCCUUGGGCAAGCUGUUUAUUAUUCUGUAACUACAUUUCCUUGUGUACAAUAGAGGUCAUUGUAGACUCAAUAUCAUAAUUUUAUUUUUAGGAGAACAUGGGCGAUGUAUUUUACUAUUGACAGUGUCUGGCAUGUUAUAUCAAUCAAUCAAUAAGCAUUUAAUAGUG